UACAGAGGGGGCAAGCGUUGUUCGGAAUUACUGGGCGUAAAGGGCGCGUAGGCGGCCUGCUAAGUCGAACGUGAAAUCCCUGGGCUCAACCCAGGAACUGCGUCCGAUACUGGUUGGCUUGAAUCCGGGAGAGGGAUGUGGAAUUCCAGGUGUAGCGGUGAAAUGCGUAGAUAUCUGGAGGAACACCGGUGGCGAAGGCGACAUCCUGGACCGGUAUUGACGCUGAGGCGCGAAAAGCCAGGGGAGCAAACGGGG
rnacentral:rRNA from 1 species